UGCCCAAGAGAUCGGGAUAACACCUGGAAACAGAUGCUAAUACCGGAUAACAACAGAUGAUGCCUAUCAACUGUUUAAAAGAUGGUUCUGCUAUCACUCUUGGAUGGACCUGCGGUGCAUUAGCUAGUUGGUAGGGUAACGGCCUACCAAGGCGAUGAUGCAUAGCCGAGUUUAGAGACUGAUCGGCCACAUUGGGACUGAGACACGGCCCAAACUCCUACGGGAGGCAGCAGAG
rnacentral:rRNA from 1 species